rnacentral:rRNA from 1 species
GACGAACGCUGGCGGCGUGCUUAACACAUGCAAGUCGAGCGGUAAGGCCCUUUCGGGGGUACGACGAGCGGCGAACGGGUGAGUAACACGUGGGUGACCUGCCCUCAGCUCUGGGAUAAGCCUGGGAAACCGGGUCUAAUACUGGAUAUGACUCCAUGACGCAUGUUGUGGGGUGGAAAGCCUUGUGCGGCUGAGGAUGGGCCCGCGGCCUAUCAGCUUGUUGGUGGGGUGAGGCCUACCAAGGCGACGACGGGUAGCCGGCCUGAGAGGGCGACCGGCCACACUGGGACUGAGACACGGCCCAGACUCCUACGGGAGGCAGCAGUGGGGAAUCUUGCGCAAUGGGCGAAAGCCUGACGCAGCGACGCCGCGUGAGGGAUGACGGCCUGGUUGUAA